rnacentral:rRNA from 1 species
GGGAGGCUAUUGCUAUCGGGGUCCGAUUAGCCAUGCUAGUUGUACGGGUUUAGACCCGUAGCAAAUAGCUCCGUAACACGUGGUCAAACUACCCUCUGGACCGGAAUACCCUCGGGAAACUGAGGCUAAUUCCGGAUACUGCUUUCAUGUUGGAACACAGAAAGUCGGAAACGGUCCGCCGCCGGAGGACGUGACUGCGGCCGAUUAGGUAGACGGUGGGGUAACGGCCCACCGUGCCGAUAAUCGGUACGGGUUGUGAGAGCAAGAACCCGGAGACGGUAUCUGAGACAAGAUACCGGGCCCUACGGGGCGCAGCAGGCGCGAAACCUUUACACUGCACGCCAGUGCGAUAAGGGGACCCCGAGUGCGAGGGCAUACAGUCCUCGCUUUUCGUGACCGUAAGAAGGUCUCAGAAUAAGAGCUGGGCAAGACCGGUGCCAGCCGCCGCGGUAAUACCGGCAGCUCGAGUGAUAGCCACUAUUAUUGGGCCUAAAGCGUCCGUAGCCGGCCGAACAGGUCCGUCGGGAAAUCCACCCGCUCAACGGGUGGACGUCCGGCGGAAACCAGUCGGCUUGGGGCCGGGAGACCAGAGAGGUACGUCCGGGGUAGGAGUGAAAUCCCGUAAUCCUGGACGGACCGCCGGUAGCGAAAGCGUCUCUGGAGAACGGACCCGACGGUGAGGGACGAAAGCUUGGGUCUCGAACCGGAUUAGAUACCCGGGUAGUCCAAGCUGUAAACGAUGCUCGCUAGGUGUGGCGUUGGCUACGAGCCAGCGCUGUGCCGUAGGGAAGCCGAGAAGCGAGCCGCCUGGGGAAGUACGUCCGCAAGGAUGAAACUUAAAGGAAUUGGCGGGGGGAGCACUACAACC